rnacentral:rRNA from 2 species
GGAAUUUUCCGCAAUGGGCGAAAGCCUGACGGAUCAAUACCGCGUGAGGGAAGACGGCCUUUGGGUUGUAAACCUCUUUUUUCAGGGAGGAAUCACUGACGUGUACCUGAAGAAUAAGCAUCGGCUAACUCCGUGCCGGCAGCCGCGGUAACACGGAAGGGGCAAGCGUUAUUCGGAAUUAUUGGGCGUAAAGAGCACGUAGGUGGCCUAUCAAGUCAGGUGUGAAAUCCUGAGGCUUAACCUUAGAAUUGCACUUGAAACUGAUAGGCUUGAGUCCAUAAGAGGAGAGUGGAAUUCCUAGUGUAGCGGUGAAAUGCGCAGAUAUUAGGAGGAACACCAGUGGCAAAGGGGCUCUCUGGUCUGUGACUGACACUGAGGUGCGAAACUAGGGAACGACAGGAUAGAUACCCCAGUAGUC